rnacentral:rRNA from 1 species
UACGAAGGGGGGCUAGCGUUGCUCGGAAUCACUGGGCGUAAAGGGCGCGUAGGCGGCCUGAUCAGUCGGGGGUGAAAGCCUGUGGCUCAACCACAGAAUGGCCUCGAUACUGUCGGGCUUGAGACCGGAAGAGGUAAGUGGAACUGCGAGUGUAGAGGUGAAAUUCGUAGAUAUUCGCAAGAACACCAGUGGCGAAGGCGGCUUACUGGUCCGGAUCUGACGCUGAGGCGGCGAAAAGCGUGGGGGAGCAAACAGGG